rnacentral:rRNA from 1 species
GGGGGGGGUGGUUCGGAGUUCUGGGCGUAAGCGCACGCAGGCGGUCGUGUAAGUUUGGGGUUACAGCUCCCGGCUCAACUGGGAGAGCGCCUUGAAGACUGCAGGACUUGAGGGCCAGAGAGGGACACAGAAUUCCGGGUGUAGUGGUGAAAUGCGUAGAUAUCCGGAGGAAUACCAAAGGCGAAGGCAGUGUCCUGGCUGGUGACUGACGCUGAGGUGCGAAAGCUAGGGGAGCGAACGGGAUUAGAUACCCCGGUAGUCCUAGCCGUAAACGAUGACCACUAGGUGUGGGAGGUAUCGACCCCUUCCGUGCCGUAGCUAACGUGAUAAGUGGUCCGCCUGGGGAGUACGGUCGCAAGAUUAAAACUCAAAGGAAUUGACGGGGACCCGCACAAGCAGCGGAGCGUGUGGUUUAAUUCGAAGCAACGCGAAGAACCUUACCAGGGUUUGACAUGGAGUUGCACCAUCCAGAGAUGGAUGUCCCUUCGGGGCGGCUCCACAGGUGCUGCAUGGCUGUCGUCAGCUCGUGCCGUGAGGUGUUGGGUUAAGUCCCGCAACGAGCGCAACCCUUGUCGUCGGUUGGAUUUCUCCGACGAGACUGCCGCGAUCAACGUGGAGGAAGGUGGGGAUGACGUCAAGUCAGCACGGCCCUUACAUCCUGGGCGACACACACGCUACAAUGGCCGGUACAGAGGGUGGCCAACCCGCGAGGGGGAGCUAAUCCCAACAAAACCGGUCUCAGUUCGGAUUGUAGGCUGCAACCCGCCUGCAUGAAGUUGGAGUUGCUAGUAACCGUGAGUCAGCACAUCACGGUGAAUACGUUCCCGGGUCUUGUACACACCGCCCGUCACACCACGAAAGUCGGCAACACCUGAAGCCGCUGGGCUAACCCAAUAGGGAGGCAGGCGUCGAGGGUGGGGUUGGUGAUUGGGGUGAAGUCGUAACAAGGUAACC